rnacentral:tRNA from 1 species
UCCCUGGUGGCUCAGAGGUUAAAGCAUCUGCCUAGAAUGCAGGAGACCCGGGUUUGAUCCCUGAGUCGGGAA